AGAGGGAAUCCCCUGAAGAGGCCUGACCCUGUCCCUGCCCGGGGCCUGGCGCUGCUGCAGGUGACAUCCCUGCUGGGGAGAUGACCCCGAGGGGCAGGGCCAGGUGGCUGCCUUCAGCGCUGCUGCUGCUCCAGGUCCCAGACCCCAUGGGCAGCUGAGGGACCCGCAUCCGGGGCUCUUCUGACCCAGGCCCAUCUGGUGAAAGCCGGACCCGACUGUGCUUUCCAGGCUGUUUGUCCCUGAGCUGCCCGAGCAGAGUGACGGGCAUCGUGGGGGGAUCGCUGAGCGUGGCGUGUCGGUACCGGGAGGAAUUCUGGCGAAACAACAAAUUCUGGUGCAAAUCCCCCUGUUUAUGGAAUACUGUGGAGACUGGAGGGUCUGCGAGAGAAGUGAGGAAGGGCCGCGUGUCCAUCAGAGACCAUCCUGCAAACCUCACCUUCACAGUGACCUUGGAGAACCUCAGAGAGGAGGAUGCAGGAACAUAUGGAUGUGGCAUCCAUGUGUCACUUUCAUUUGACCCCACGUUCCCGGUGGAGGUGUCUGUGAUCCCAGUCACUAUGACAACCACCAGCCCCAAGAGGUCCACAAGCACCCCGGAGGCUCCCACGACCCUGCCAGUGCCCACCUGGAGCACCGUGUCUGGGCCGGAGGCCCCUGAUCCUGGCCAAGCUCAUCGGCUCCUGCUGGGCAGCAUCCACUUCCUGCUCCUGGUCUUCCUGAAGGUGCCUCUGCUCCUGGGCCUGCUCAGUGCCAUCCUCUGGGUCAACAGGCCUCUGAGGAGCUCUGCAGACAGGCGGAGUCGGUCCAUUUAUGAGAACCAGUAGCCCCCAGGUUCAUCGUGUCCUCUUCGAUGAUGCAGUCAGACCACUGGAUGGAAAUGGCCUUCUGUCCAUCUGUCCUGUAUCACACUCUACCUCUCUCUCAGAAUACUGUCUUUGUGGAUUUCCCUCUAGUUCUCUUUCCUUGCCCAUGAGUCUCUAAAACCAAAAGCAUACCUCCUCUAUAGGUGCUUCUGAACUGUAACCACAGAUCAAAAUCGAGUUCAGAGCUGCCAACUCAUCCGGGGAGCAUCAGUCAUGCACUGAACUCUCAGGUGCCCUCUCUGCAGUCUUCAAACCCCAGGAGUGUGGGAAUCUUCCUUUUGGAUCUGUUUUGAUGGAUCCAGGCAGUCCCAUGGUUUCCCACAUCAUCCGUGGUACCGUAAUCACCCACCCUCCACAGGUCUCAGAUCCACUGUGGGGAAUCCUCCAGUUGCUGAUUGUGUCUAUUUAAUUAGGCAUUCUAAAGCUCAGGAAACAACAAUGCAGAGAGUCGACGGUCCACGGGGCCAGCACGCACGGGACCUGAAUCAUGACUCCAUUCUGCACGAACCUUCACACCCCAGUGUUCUGUCUAAUGGACCGAAGGGCCAUAUGGAUUUCUCCAAUUGGUGUAGGUUCAGAACAGAAUCCAGCAUUGCACGGCAAAUCAGAUUAUUCCAUUCCCCAUGCCCAGUCAAACUGGUUAGUAUGUUUAGGUCCUCUGCGGAUGGCUGGUAGAAAAAUAACAGUAUGAAAUUUAUGCAACUGUCGCAGAAUCCUUCCUUCCUCCUGUUCAAAGGUAACUCAAGCCCCACCCUCACCCCAUCAUUCAAGGCCCGUGGUUAUAGACCCGGUUCAAGUUUUUAAAUCGAUUGAGGGGCCAUGAGUGAGUCUUCUAUUCAUUAGCUUAGUCGCCAUGACUUGUAGAGCCAAAGACCUGGGUAGGCUUCCCAGAGUUUCAGUUCAAACUGCAUCAUGAUGAACUUGCCAGCACCAAAGAUCUGUGAGAGGCAGGUUAUCAUCUUGACUCAUCUAUUUGAAGCAGCCAGGACCUGGGGAACUGCACCCCAUUUUCAUGCAGCAAAUAUAUGGGGAGAGGACCAAAGUAGUAACCAGUAACCUAGGCAUUACCUCCAACCAUGAUUGAACAGAAGAAAAAGCUCA